rnacentral:lncRNA from 1 species
AGCAUUGGCUGCCCACCCUCUGAAAAGCGACUGAGUCCUUGAGUCUCCUGGGAUGUUCAUAUGAAUCCCCUUGAAGCUUUAAUUUGAUAAGACCUCAGUGGAGACUGCUGAACCCCUGGGAUUUAACAUCAUAUAUUAUUCAUUGUUGCUGUUGCCACAGACGUGCUGAUUUUGCCCCUGCUGAGCAAGGCACUUCUGCACAUGGGAACUUGAUGGCUAACCACACUGCAUGUUCUUCAGGCAGGGCCUAUCCCAGAACGUUCCAAGCUGUCUGCUAGCAAGUCUGCAUUAACUCCCUCAAUGCUGCAUGCACGGUGUCCCUGAGUCCUUCACCACCCGCCCCGCCACCAGAGCCAGUCUUUUUAAGAAUUUUGCCUGGGCUGUGUUUUUCAAAGUGCCUCUCUCUAGUGUGCAUCUCUUCUUAAUCACAGAAAGCAGAUCUGAGAGCUUCUAAUGCACUUCUCUAUUACUUCAAGAACACUGUGUAUAAUAAUAAACUCUACAGAAAUAAACCAAAUCACAAGAAGCUUUCAGGUCUGGAGGCUGACAUUUCUCAAGACAGAUGCAAAAACCCAGGCCCAGAGAGAUGAAGAAACCUGGCUAAGCUCCUUGAAGCUAGAAAUGGCCUACCUGUAGAAUCUGUCUUCACUUCAAAGUCAGUGGAGUGCACAGUUUUAUUGUCGUGUUGAACUGAACAUGUCACUGAAUUUGAAUCUUCAUAUUUACCAAGCUUGACAGCAUUGUACUUCCCACUGGGAGAGAUGACAAUAGCAGGAUCAAACUCUGUUAUCUUCUUGGAUGACACGAGAUUUAUUCUUAUAUCCUUGGGGUAGAAUUCCUUCACCAGACAAGCGACAUUUGUUCCAUUUUUCAUGACAAAAACGGAUGGUUUGGUAUGAGGCUGACUUCCUGCAAAUAUAAUCAACUUAUUAG